AUGGUAGGGAUCAAACUUAAACAAGUUAUCCUGUGCAGGAAAGCUUCUGCGGCCCCUGGAAAAGACCUGAGAGUUCUGUACAGUUGUGAUAAUGGGGAUAAGCAAGGGUUGCUGUGGGAAGCAGAGUGCACACCUCUGGAGGGAAGGAGGAGAGACACUGCCUCCAGGACCUGCCCCUGGGGUCGAGCUGAGAGGGGUGAAAGUUUCCAGGCAGAGGGAGCAAGAAAUAGGAGAGACAGACAACAACCAGUUUCCCAAAGAGGCCAGUUUCAAUCUUCAAUCAGUAUGAUAGGCAUAUAUUUUGAAAACAAAAUGGAUUUUCCUUCAUUUGUAUACAGCAACAUGAUUUAAACAGCUCCUUAUGUCAGCAUUAGGUUAUUUCUAGUUAACCGUACUAAGUAUUCUUUACAAUGAUAUUUUAUGUUUUACUGUCCUUUGAAAAGUAUGAAUUUUCUGCAGUUAAUUUCAUCCACUCAACUCUUGAGAGAAAACUGAAAUAAAAGGGCCAAGGAAAAAGUAACACAUAACGUUUGCUUUAGUCUCCAUUUCUUUUGUCUUUUUUUUUUUAAAGUUGGAGUCUCACUCUGUUGCCCAGGCUGGAGUGCAGUGGAGCAAUUUCAGCUCACUGAAGCCUCUGCCUCCUGGGUUUAAGCAAGUCAACUGCCUCAGUCUCCCAAGUAGCUGGGAUUAUAGGCACUUGCAACCACAGUUGGCUAAUUUUUGUAUUUUUAAUAGAGAUGGAGUUUCAUCAUAUUGGCCAGGCUGGUCUUGAACUCCCAACCUCAGGUGAUGUGCCUGCCUCAGUCUCCCAAAGUGCUAGGAUUAUAGGUGUGAGCCACCAUGUCUGGCCUCCAUCUCCAUUUUCAACACAUAUGUUCUCCCAAACAGAAAAGAACUUUUGUAUAGAGGAUGGAGUAUGAAACUUCUAAAAUGUGCAGACACAUAUUUUUAAAUACAAUUCAUGUUAAUAAAGGAGUAACUGACUCUUGCCAAAUAUUUCAUGAGUCUUAGCAACAAUUUUAAAUCAUUUCUCAAAUUCUAAACUUACUUCAGCAUGA
rnacentral:lncRNA from 1 species